ACUCGUCCUUGGUGUAGAGGGCGAUCAGGAGGAAGAGGGGAAGAGGGGUCCCAGUUGGCCUCCAGGUUUCUGGAAGUACCAAUCCUAGAGUCUUCUUGGUGAAGGGAGUUGGCCAAGGCCAGUUUGAGUUGGACUGUCUGCCACCUGAGCAAGAGAAAUCCCACCUGCCAAGCCUCUCGGCAGACGGUGGUGCAGCCUCCACAGCCUGGUCUUCAGAUUGUAACUCCGGCCCCUGCUCUGAGCUGGACCCCUCUAGGUCAAGUUUGCAAAUCCUGCGAGAGCCCAGGUGGAGCUUCUGACACG
rnacentral:lncRNA from 1 species